rnacentral:rRNA from 1 species
AUUGAACGCUGGCGGCAGGCCUAACACAUGCAAGUCGAACGAGUGGCGGACGGGUGAGUAAUGUCUGGGAAACUGCCUGAUGGAGGGGGAUAACUACUGGAAACGGUAGCUAAUACCGCAUACCAUCGGAUGUGCCCAGAUGGGAUUAGCUAGUAGGUGGGGUAACGGCUCACCUCGGCGACGGUCCCGAGCUGGGCUGAGAGGAUGAACAGCCACACUGGACCUGAGACACGGUCCAGACGCCUACGUGAGGCAUCAGUGGGGAAUAUUGCACAAUGGGCGCAAGCCUGAUGCAGCCAUGCCGCGUGUAUGAAGAAGGCCUUCGGGUUGUAAAGUACUUUCAGCGGUGUGGCGUUACCCGCAGAAGAAGCACCGGCUAACUCCGUGCCAGCAGCCGCGGUAAUUC